GCGCUCACUUUAGCAGCACAUAUACUAAAAAUGGAAUGAUACAGAGAUCAGCACGGCCCCUGCACAAGGAUGACACACAAGUUCGUGAAGCAUUCCAUAUUUUU
rnacentral:snRNA from 1 species